rnacentral:rRNA from 1 species
CCUACGGGUGGCAGCAGUCGAGAAUCAUUCACAAUGGGGGAAACCCUGGUGGUGCGACGCCGCGUGGGGGAAUGAAGGUCUUCGGAUUGUAAACCCCUGUCAUGUGGGAGCAAAUUAAAAAGAUAGUACCACAAGAGGAAGAGACGGCUAACGCUGUUCCAGCAGCCGCGGUAAUACAGAGGUCUCAAGCGUUGUUCGGAAGCACUGGGCGUAAAGCGUGCGUAGGCUGUUUCGUAAGUCGUGUGUGAAAGGCGCGGGCUCAACCCGCGGACGGCACAUGAUACUGCGAGACUAGAGUAAUGGAGGGGGAACCGGAAUUCUCGGUGUAGCAGUGAAAUGCGUAGAUAUCGAGAGGAACACUCGUGGCGAAGGCGGGUUCCUGGACAUUAACUGACGCUGAGGCACGAAGGCCAGGGGAGCGAAAGGGAUUAGAUACCCCAGUAGUC